rnacentral:rRNA from 1 species
GACAGAGGCCUCAAGCGUUAGGCGGAAUCACUGGGCGUAAAGGGCGCGUAGGCGGCCAUUCAAGUCGGGGGUGAAAGCCUGUGGCUCAACCACAGAAUUGCCUUCGAUACUGUUUGGCUUGAGUCUGGUAGAGGUUGGUGGAACUGCGAGUGUAGAGGUGAAAUUCGUAGAUAUUCGCAAGAACACCGGUGGCGAAGGCGGCCAACUGGACCAGUACUGACGCUGAGGCGCGAAAGCGUGGGGAGCAAACAGG